CAAGGGUUUAAAACUCCAUACAUGUGUAUUUGUGCAUGGAGUUUCAAACUCUUGGA
rnacentral:precursor_RNA from 1 species